rnacentral:misc_RNA from 1 species
GAUGAAGAACGUAGCGAAAUGCGAUACGUAAUGUGAAUUGCAGAAUUCAGUGAAUCAUCGAAUCUUUGAACGCACAUUGCGCCCGCCAGCAUUCUGGCGGGCAUGCCUGUCCGAGCGUCAUUUCAACCCUCAGGGUCCCCCCGCCUCGCGCGGUCGGAGCCUGGUGUUGGGGAUCGGCCCGCCCCGCGCGGUGCCGUCCCCCAAAUACAGUGGCGGUCCCGCCGCAGCCUCCCCUGCGCAGUAGUUAUCAACUCGCACUGGAGCGCGGCGCGGCCACGCCGUAAAACCCCCGACUUUCAGAAAGUUGACCUCGGAUCAGGUAGGAAUACCCGCUGAACUUAAGCAUAUCAAUAAGCGGAGGA